AGAGAGAGACAUGCGCGCACUAUCAAUAAGCGGAGGAAAAGAAACUAACAAGGAUUCCCUUAGUAACGGCGAGUGAAGCGGGAAGAGCUCAAAUUUGAAAUCUUCAAGGUUUUACCUUGACGAAUUGUAGUUUAAAGAAGUGUUUUCUGCUGAAGUUUUGGUAAAAGUUCUUUGGAAUAGGACAUCAUAGAGGGUGAGAAUCCCGUAUUUGACCAUUAUUUUCAGCUUUGUGAUACACUUUCAAAGAGUCGGAUUGUUUGGGAAUGCAGUCCAAAAUGGGUGGUAAAUUUCAUCUAAAGCUAAAUAUUGGCGGAGAGACCGAUAGCGAACAAGUACCGUGAGGGAAAGAUGAAAAGAACUUUGAAAAGAGAGUUAAACAGUACGUGAAAUUGUCAAAAGGGAAGCGUUUGACACCAGUGUUGUUUUCUCGAAAAUCAAUUAAAAAUGGCUCGAUUUUGUAUUGCUUGAGACCUUAAAAGCUCACUGUACAUUUUUCGUGUCUUUUUUAAUGCACUUUUCGUUUAACAAGUCAACAUCAGUUUCUUUUGUUGUAAAAGGGUCAUUGGAAGGUGGCUUUCUUUUCGGAGAAAGUGUUUAUAGCCUUUGGCCUCUGCAAUCGAAGAGACUGAGGUCUGCAGCGUAGACUCUUCGGGGUUAGAUACAUUUGUGCUAAGUUAUAGCUUUUUAUAGACAACUUGUUGACUAUAAUUAGUCUUGUAGCUUACUCGCUUAUGCUAUUUUACCUACGCUUAGGAUGUUGAAGAUGUAGCACAUCAU
rnacentral:rRNA from 1 species